rnacentral:lncRNA from 12 species
AUGUCUGGAAAUUAUAUAUCCUAAAUCUGUUCUGCUACUGGAUAUGCUAACAUUUUAGUAAUCAUUUUAUGCAAGCAAAUGAAGGCAGUACAGAGCUGAUCUCUGUCCUUAGCUUCCAAGAACCUAAAUCUAGGAGUUGCUCCUGGACAUUGCAUGAGGCAAAAAAUCCAUUUUUAUGAAGGAAAGCAAUUCAUAACAAAAGGGAGAUCUAGAUUGUGCCUGGGGAGAGUGGGGAGACUGGUUAUCAAUGAGCAUGCUUACUGGACAACCCCUUCUACUGCUAGCCUGGAACCAAUUAAAAUAUUUGGAAUUGAUACCUUUCCAGAAGAUCUAAGCAAUAUUGUCCCAGCACUUAUAUGGAGACAAACUUUUGAGAAGUAUCUCUUCACACAUUGGAAAAUGAGUUCUCCAGGGAGAAGGCUGGGGAACAUUUGUGCUUCUAUGGAGAGGGAACCUCAAUAG